GCUGGGAUUACAGGCAUGAGCC
rnacentral:miRNA from 1 species